rnacentral:lncRNA from 1 species
ACACAAAGGCGCAGGACUCCCGGCGCACCGCAGCUCAGACAAAGGCGCGCCCGAGUCCGCUGCCCUCUUCCUCUUGGUGCCCGAGGUCUGAGGCUGUGGGGCUGCCUGGCGUCUCCAGACACCCCACAUGCCCGCCUGGGCCCCGCAGGACAUCCUGCGCCCCGUGGCUGGGGGGCCCCCUAAACCACAGGUGCAUGCACAGACGCCUGGACUCACCCUCACACACACAAGUAUUUCUACAGAUGAACCCCAGCACUUCACACACACACACGUGUGCACACACACGUGCAUGAACACAUCUAUGUGCACAGGCCCCAACACCAGCCCUCCCUGCUGACGAUGGUCACUCCCAUAUACUGAUACCUCCUCUACUCCCUCACAUGGACCCAUGGGCACAAGGGCACUUCUACACAUAUGUGCCCAAGCAUACUUCCUGGCCACUCGCACCCACUCACACACAGGCACACUCAGAAAGGGUAUACUACAGGCACAACUACAGGAGUGCCCUCCCCUGACUGCACACGUGCCCUGUGCACCCAGACACACCCAGGCAAGCAGGUGGGCACAACAGGAAGGACUGGCAGUUCUCAUAUAUGCACACGAGAGGUGACCGUUUCCCGGCAUCUACACUCCACAACAUCCCGUAUCGUAAAGGCCAUUUCACAGAGGAGAUCCACAGACCACACAGCAACUGGCCACAGGAUUUCUAUACAUGAGGGUCUUCCCGACAGCAGCCUGGUAGCAGUGGACACUGGAGCCUUGUCUCAAAGCGACAUUUACGCAGUAAGCUUUGUUUUCAGUUAGGAUUUGUUUUGGGGGGCUUGGAAAUGGGGCUAUAGGACAUUAUGGGGGGGGGCAAAACCUCACCAGCCACCCUUAUGCUCCACCCUGGACAGACUCAACAUCAUCCACGUCAGGAACACGCUUUUGGAUGUGACCCCAUUCCAGCCCCCUAGAGCCAGCAGAGAAGGACCACCCACUUCCAGUGCGGCCAGGUCUGCAGUUCAGUCCUGGAGCCGGGGAAGGCUGUAUACGCUCCCUGAGAGAUGAAACAACCCCACACCUCUCGCCUCCCAUGCUGGCUCCAUUCUCAGUGCCUCAGACCAGAGCUGGGCCUGGUGAGGGGAUCUUGAAGGAGGAUGGGCCUGCCUGAGAGAGGAUAGAGGGGCAGAGUUUGGAACACACUGGCAGCUGGAACAGGGAGGCUCAAGGCAGGGGGAGAUGGUGGCCUCGUUGCCACAGAAGAGGCCUCGAGCCAUGCUGAGGGAGGCAGCUUGAUCUCUCUGUACUGAGCCAUGGAGCUCCUUCUUGGAGGCGUGAAAUGCUCCCCAUCCUUCAGGAGACAACAGCAACAGCCAGCCACUCCUUGUCCAGUCAGCAAUGCUGGAAUACCUCUGCAGCUCACAGUCCAACGCCCACAGCCUUCGAGUCAGUUUCUUGAUAUUCGGCAAUGCACUGGACUCCUGAUCCCAUCAGCUCCUGGCUGAAGGUGGGCCAACCCUUCCCCAUUUCCUUCAAUUCAAACAUUUCCUCAUGUCCCUCAGUGCCAAGCCCUGUGCUGGGAGCUGAGGACCCAGAGGUGAGCUAGAUCUAAAAUCUGACCUCAAGGAGCUAACAGUCUGAGAGGAAGACUGGAGUGGAUAAAAAUACCUUGGUAAUUUAUCACUUAAUAAAUAUCCAAUAAAUGCU